AGAGGUGACUGCGUACCUUUUGCAUAAUGGGUCAGCGACUUACAUUCUGUGGCGAGCUUAACCGAAUAGGGGAGGCGCAGCGAAAGCGAGUUCGAAAUGAGCGUCCAGUCGCAGGGUGUAGACCCGAAACCAGAUGAGCUAUCCAUGGCCAGGUUGAAGGUGUGGUAACACACACUGGAGGACCGAACCGACUAGUGUUGCAAAAUUAGCGGAUGAGCUGUGGAUAGGGGUGAAAGGCCAAACAAAUCUGGAGAUAGCUGGUUCUCCCCGAAAACUAUUGAGGUAGUGCCUCGUGUGUCGCUCCAGGGGGUAGAGCACUGUUUUGGCUAGGGGGACAUGGAGUCUUACCAAACCAAGGCAAACUCCGAAUACCUGGAAGCGUGAGCACGGGAGACAGAGCACCGGGUGCUAACGUCCGGACUCAAAAGGGAAACAACCCAGACCGCCGGCUAAGGUCCCCAAUAACAGCUAAGUGGAAAACGAAGUGGAAAGGCCGUGACAACCAGGAAGUUGGCUUAGAAGCAGCCAUCCUUCAAAGAAAGCGUAAUAGCUCACUGGUCGAGUCCUUCUGCGCGGAAGAUGUAACGGGGCUAAGCUGUUAACCGAAGCCGCGGAUGCACUGAUUAUUCAGUGCGUGGUAGGGGAGCGUUCUGUAAGUCUGCGAAGGCGGUUCGAGAGGACUGCUGGAGAUAUCAGAAGUGCGAAUGCUGACAUGAGUAACGUUAAAGCAGGUGAAAAGCCUGCUCGCCGUAAGCCCAAGGAUUCCUGCUCUACGUUCAUCGGAGCAGGGUGAGUCGGCUCCUAAGGUCAGGCCGAAAGGCGUAGCCGAUGGGAAUCAGGUUAAUAUUCCUGAACCUGCGUCAGAUGCGAUGGGGGGACGGAGCAUGAAAGAUCAUCCGGGUGUUGGAUGUCCCGGUUGACGAGCGUAGGAGGUCUGCAGGCAAAUCCGCAGACGCAUCUCCAAGGCGAAGUCACGUGCCGCCACGGCGGCGAAGUGAUCGGAAGUGCUUCCAAGAAAAGCCUCUAAGCACCAGUCUGACGCGGACCGUACCGCAAACCGACACUGGUGGGCGAGCUGAAUAUGCUCAGGCGCUUGAGAGAACUCGGGAGAAGGAACUCGGCAAAUUGACACCGUAACUUCGGAAGAAGGUGUGCCGUAGUACCGUGAGAGGAGAGACACCUUGAGCGGGAAUCGGUCUCAGAGAAUAGGUGGCUGCGACUGUUUAUUAAAAACACAGCACUCUGCAAAGUCGAAAGACGACGUAUAGGGUGUGAUGCCUGCCCGGUGCUGGAAGAUUAAUUGAUGGGGUGAGAGCCCUUGAUCGAAGUCCCAGUAAACGGCGGCCGUAACUAUAACGGUCCUAAGGUAGCGAAAUUCCUUGUC
rnacentral:rRNA from 1 species